AAACAGCUGACCUGUGGCGGACUACCGCCACAAGCGGCGGCACCGUCGCUGGAGCACGGGGAAGCCACCGUGCCGGAAUUCCAGAAUUGACCAAAAUUGGACCAUGAGGCUGAUUUUGAGUAUUUUUGGGACAUUUGUAGGUACUUAUAGCGUGUUUUGAUUCCCAAAAAAAAAUUCAGGAGAACUACGGACCGUCAGUAAGCGCAAUCAACAGUUUAGCCUUUCGGGUAUCAAAUUG
rnacentral:lncRNA from 1 species